GCCUAGGUGGCUCAGCGGUUGAGCAUCUGCCUUCAGCUCAGAUCAUGAUCCUGGAGUUCUGGGAUCGAGUCCCACAUCAGGCU
rnacentral:tRNA from 1 species